CCUACGGGAGGCUGUAGUGGGGAAUAUUGGACAAUGGGGGCAACCCUGAUCCAGCCAUGCCGCGUGUGUGAAGAAGGCCCUCGGGUUGUAAAGCACUUUCAGUGAGGAAGAACGCCUGGUGGUUAAUACCCAUCAGGAAAGACAUCACUCACAGAAGAAGCACCGGCUAACUCCGUGCCAGCAGCCGCGGUAAUACGGAGGGUGCGAGCGUUAAUCGGAAUUACUGGGCGUAAGCGCGCGUAGGUGGCUUGAUAAGCCGGUUGUGAAAGCCCCGGGCUCAACCUGGGAACGGCAUCCGGAACUGUCAAGCUAGAGUGCAGGAGAGGAAGGUAGAAUUCCCGGUGUAGCGGUGAAAUGCGUAGAGAUCGGGAGGAAUACCAGUGGCGAAGGCGGCCUUCUGGACUGACACUGACACUGAGGUGCGAAAGCGUGGGUAGCAAACAGGAUUAGAUACCCCAGUAGUC
rnacentral:rRNA from 1 species